CUGGCGGCGUGCCUAAUACAUGCAAGUAGAACGCUGAAGAGAGGAGCUUGCUCUUCUUGGAUGAGUUGCGAACGGGUGAGUAACGCGUAGGUAACCUGCCUUGUAGCGGGGGAUAACUAUUGGAAACGAUAGCUAAUACCGCAUAACAAUGGAUGACACAUGUCAUUUAUUUGAAAGGGGCAAAUGCUCCACUACAAGAUGGACCUGCGUUGUAUUAGCUAGUAGGUGAGGUAACGGCUCACCUAGGCGACGAUACAUAGCCGACCUGAGAGGGUGAUCGGCCACACUGGGACUGAGACACGGCCCAGACUCCUACGGGAGGCAGCAGUAGGGAAUCUUCGGCAAUGGGGGCAACCCUGACCGAGCAACGCCGCGUGAGUGAAGAAGGUUUUCGGAUCGUAAAGCUCUGUUGUAAGUCAAGAACGAGUGUGAGAGUGGAAAGUUCACACUGUGACGGUAGCUUACCAGAAAGGGACGGCUAACUACGUGCCAGCAGCCGCGGUAAUACGUAGGUCCCGAGCGUUGUCCGGAUUUAUUGGGCGUAAAGCGAGCGCAGGCGGUUUGAUAAGUCUGAAGUUAAAGGCUGUGGCUCAACCAUAGUUCGCUUUGGAAACUGUCAAACUUGAGUGCAGAAGGGGAGAGUGGAAUUCCAUGUGUAGCGGUGAAAUGCGUAGAUAUAUGGAGGAACACCGGUGGCGAAAGCGGCUCUCUGGUCUGUAACUGACGCUGAGGCUCGAAAGCGUGGGGAGCGAACAGGAUUAGAUACCCUGGUAGUCCACGCCGUAAACGAUGAGUGCUAGGUGUUGGAUCCUUUCCGGGAUUCAGUGCCGCAGCUAACGCAUUAAGCACUCCGCCUGGGGAGUACGACCGCAAGGUUGAAACUCAAAGGAAUUGACGGGGGCCCGCACAAGCGGUGGAGCAUGUGGUUUAAUUCGAAGCAACGCGAAGAACCUUACCAGGUCUUGACAUCCCGAUGCUAUUUCUAGAGAUAGAAAGUUACUUCGGUACAUCGGUGACAGGUGGUGCAUGGUUGUCGUCAGCUCGUGUCGUGAGAUGUUGGGUUAAGUCCCGCAACGAGCGCAACCCCUAUUGUUAGUUGCCAUCAUUCAGUUGGGCACUCUAGCGAGACUGCCGGUAAUAAACCGGAGGAAGGUGGGGAUGACGUCAAAUCAUCAUGCCCCUUAUGACCUGGGCUACACACGUGCUACAAUGGUUGGUACAACGAGUUGCGAGUCGGUGACGGCAAGCUAAUCUCUUAAAGCCAAUCUCAGUUCGGAUUGUAGGCUGCAACUCGCCUACAUGAAGUCGGAAUCGCUAGUAAUCGCGGAUCAGCACGCCGCGGUGAAUACGUUCCCGGGCCUUGUACACACCGCCCGUCACACCACGAGAGUUUGUAACACCCGAAGUCGGUGAGGUAACCUUUUGGAGCCAGCCGCCUAAGGUGGGAU
rnacentral:rRNA from 1 species